CACGUAGGGCGCAAGCGUUGUCCGGAAUUAUUGGGCGUAAAGAGCUCGUAGGCGGUCUGUUACGUCUGCUGUGAAAACCCAGGGCUUAACCCUGGGCUUGCAGUGGAUACGGGCAGACUAGAGGCAGGUAGGGGAGAAUGGAAUUCCCGGUGUAGCGGUGAAAUGCGCAGAUAUCGGGAGGAACACCGGUGGCGAAGGCGGUUCUCUGGGCCUGACCUGACGCUGAGGAGCGAAAGCGUGGGGAGCGAUCCGG
rnacentral:rRNA from 1 species